AGGGCUGAGCAGGAGCAGGAAGCAGCUCCUGCAUGACUUACUUAGUCUAGAGGUUUAGAGGACAAGAACCAGCAGAAGAAAAAGAGGGGAUUGGACGUGGGAGAGAAAGGGGAGGAAAAAAAGACAGUAAGGACUGUGAGGGAAGCUUUUCCUCCGCUUCACAGUUGGUUGCAUUCUGGUCUGUGUAAAGAACACGUUUGAUCAGCCUGUGCUGCCUACCAGAUCUCCUGUGGCCCAAAGGUGAUGGUGUCAUCCUGACUUGUUUUUCUCGUGACCCGGGAGUCCCUAAACCCCGAACCGUAUAGCUUUGGAAAACCCUGGAAAUACCUGGAAUUCUAGGAGUAUAUCACCAAAACUUCUUAAGGUGCCCAGGCACUGGAUCAAUAGCUUUACAUUCUCCUUUAUUAUUUUUUUCUGUAUACAAAGAAAGAGACGAAAGUCUGAACGUUAGCAAUAGCCGCUGGCCAUCCACCAUUGCUCCGACGAACCUGCUGUGACCGAGAGGGCGUGACCUUUCUGCCUGCUGACUUCAAACAGACACUUGAAAAGAAAACGCAGUCGGAGAGGUUUCCGCGUGGUGGCAACUCAGACCAAAAACCCC